AGCGAACGCUGGCGGCAGGCUUAACACAUGCAAGUCGAGCGGGCAUAGCAAUAUGUCAGCGGCAGACGGGUGAGUAACGCGUGGGAACGUACCUUUUGGUUCGGAACAACUGAGGGAAACUUCAGCUAAUACCGGAUAAGCCCUUACGGGGAAAGAUUUAUCGCCGAAAGAUCGGCCCGCGUCUGAUUAGCUAGUUGGUGAGGUAAUGGCUCACCAAGGCGACGAUCAGUAGCUGGUCUGAGAGGAUGAUCAGCCACAUUGGGACUGAGACAUGGCCCAAACUCCUACGGGAGGCAGCAGUGGGGAAUAUUGGACAAUGGGCGCAAGCCUGAUCCAGCCAUGCCGCGUGAGUGAUGAAGGCCCUAGGGUUGUAAAGCUCUUUUGUGCGGGAAGAUAAUGACGGUACCGCAAGAAUAAGCCCCGGCUAACUUCGUG
rnacentral:rRNA from 1 species